UCCCUCUCAGGAUCGCACCUGGAGUUUCCAGUAUUCCAUCUGUCUCGGCUACGGGAGGGAGAGUCAAGCAGAGGCCUGCCCAUUCCAUUCCUAGCUCGGCCAGUGACUAGCGAGUGGAAGGCAAUCUGCUACAAGU